rnacentral:rRNA from 1 species
UACGUAGGCAGCGAGCGUUGUUCGGAGUUACUGGGCGUAAAGCGUGCGUAGGCGGUGUCCUAAGUCUGUUGUGAAAUCUCCCGGCUUAACCGGGAGGGUGCGGCGGAAACUGGGAUGCUGGAGUGCGGGAGAGGGAAGCGGAAUUCCGGGUGUAGCGGUGAAAUGCGUAGAUAUCCGGAGGAACACCGGUGGCGAAGGCGGCUCCUGGACCGACACUGACGCUGAGGCGCGAAGCUAGGGAGCAACGGG